GAAAGUAUAGCUCAGUGGUGAGAGUUUGUGCUUAGCAUGUUCAAGGUCCUGGGUUCAAUCCCCAGUACUGCUG
rnacentral:tRNA from 1 species